rnacentral:rRNA from 1 species
GGAUCUCACAUGGGCGCAGCUGAUGGAGCACGCCGCGUGUGUGAUGAAGGCUUUCGGGUCGUAAAGCACUGUUGUAUGGGAAGAAAUGCUAAAAUAGGGAAUGAUUUUAGUUUGACGGUACCAUACCAGAAAGGGACGGCUAACUACGUGCCAGCAGCCGCGGUAAUACGUAGGUCCCGAGCGUUGUCCGGAUUUAUUGGGCGUAAAGCGAGCGCAGGUGGUUUAUUAAGUCUGGUGUAAAAGGCAGUGGCUCAACCAUUGUAUGCAUUGGAAACUGGUAGACUUGGGUGCAGGAGAGGAGAGUGGAAUUCCAUGUGUAGCGGUGAAAUGCGUAAUAUAUGGAGGAACACCGGUGGCGAAAGCGGCUCUCUGGCCUGUAACUGACACUGAGGCUCGAAAGCGUGGGGAGCAAACAGGAUUAGAUACCCUGGUAGUCCACGCCGUAAACGAUGAGUGCUAGAUGUAGGGAGCUAUAAGUUCUCUGUAUCGCAGCUAACGCAAUAAGCACUCCGCCUGGGGAGUACGACCGCAGGUUGAAACUCAAAGGAAUUGACGGGGGCCCGCACAGCGGUGGAGCAUGUGGUUUAAUUCGAAGCAACGCGAAGAACCUUACCAGGUCUUGCACUUCCUCGUGCUAUUCCUAGAGAUAGGAGUUCUUCGGGACCGG